rnacentral:tRNA from 1 species
GUCUGGCUGGCUCAGUUGGAAGAGCAUGAGACUCUUGAUCUUGGGGUUGUGGGUUCAAGCUCCACGUGUGGUG